rnacentral:lncRNA from 1 species
CCCGCCUCGUCUUCGUCGAUUCGAGCUCGAGAUCUGGGCGUGAUCAGCAGUCGCGUGGGUUUUCUCGCGCCCGAAGCCGCAUCAGCGCCGCGCGCGACGGCGCGCGCGACGGAGGAGCCCCCGCGGCCCAGAGCGCCCGCCCAAAUCCUUUCCCCCUCGUUCAGCCCUGAACCCUCAAAGUUAACGGACGUCUUCCUCGGGGUUCGUAACUCGUCGUGACGUCCGUUAAAAAAGCACGGACUCGCCUCCGCCGACCCGCCUCCGACGACCCGCCUCCGACGACUGAACGCCCCUUUCCCCCCUCCCUCGUCCCACGCAGCUCGCCAAGCUUUACGAGCAGCACGGUCAACGGUGGGCCGAGAUCGCCAGGCACCUGGAGGGGCGAACGGACCAGCAGUGCAUGGGCCGCUGGCGCCGACACCUCGAUCCCAGCGUCAAGAAGGAUGCGUGGACUGAUCCCGAGGAUAAGAAGCUCAUGUCCCUCCACGACUCCCUCGGCCCCAGGUGGAGCAACAUCAGCAAGAUGCUCACGGGCCGCACCGCGCAGCAGUGCCGCGCGAGG